GAUGAAGAACGUAGCGAAAUGCGAUAAGUAAUGUGAAUUGCAGAAUUCAGUGAAUCAUCGAAUCUUUGAACGCACAUUGCGCCCCCCAGUAUUCUGGCGGGCAUGCCUGUUCGAGCGUCAUUUCAACCAUCAAGCCCUGCUUGUGUUGGGGUCCUGCGGCUGCCCGCAGGCCCUGAAAACCAGUGGCGGGCUCGCUAGUCACACCGAGCGCAGUAGCACAUCUCGCUCAGGGCGUGCGGCGGGCUCCAGCCGUUAAAGCACCCACCUUUCGCAAGGUUGACCUCGGAUCAGGUAGGAAUACCCGCUGAACUUAAGCAUAUCAAUAGCGGAGGA
rnacentral:misc_RNA from 1 species